rnacentral:rRNA from 1 species
CCUACGGGCGGCUGCAGUGGGGAAUAUUGGACAAUGGGGGGAACCCUGAUCCAGCCAUGCCGCGUGUGUGAAGAAGGCCCUCGGGUUGUAAAGCACUUUCAGUGAGGAAGAACGCCUGGUGGUUAAUACCCAUCAGGAAAGACAUCACUCACAGAAGAAGCACCGGCUAACUCCGUGCCAGCAGCCGCGGUAAUACGGAGGGUGCGAGCGUUAAUCGGAAUUACUGGGCGUAAAGCGCGCGUAGGUGGCUUGAUAAGCCGGUUGUGAAAGCCCCGGGCUCAACCUGGGAACGGCAUCCGGAACUGUCAAGCUAGAGUGCAGGAGAGGAAGGUAGAAUUCCCGGUGUAGCGGUGAAAUGCGUAGAGAUCGGGAGGAAUACCAGUGGCGAAGGCGGCCUUCUGGACUGACACUGACACUGAGGUGCGAAAGCGUGGGUAGCAAACAGGAUUAGAUACCCUAGUAGUC